UUACGCCCAUAUCACGUAGAAACACCGGUUUCUAUACGAUCACCGAAGUUAAGCAACGUCGUGUCUGAUAAGUACCAAGAUGGGUGACCGCUUGUGAAUACCAGAUGCUGUAAG